GAUGAAGAACGUAGCGAAAUGCGAUAAUUAAUGUGAAUUGCAGAAUUCAGUGAAUCAUCGAAUCUUUGAACGCACAUUGCGCCCGCCAGCACUCUGGCGGGCAUGCCUGUUCGAGCGUCAUUUCAACCAUCAAGCCCCAGGCUUGCGUUGGAGCCCUGCGGCUGCCGCAGCCUCCUAAAAGCAGUGGCGGGCUCGCUAUCACACCGAGUGCAGUAGAUUACUCUUCGCUCAGGGCGUGCAGCGGGUUCCGGCCGUGAAACCCCCUACUUUUAAAGGUUGACCUCGGAUCAGGUAGGAAUACCCGCUGAACUUAAGCAUAUCAUAAGCGGAGGA
rnacentral:misc_RNA from 1 species